rnacentral:rRNA from 1 species
CAAAAACAUCGCCUCCUGCAAACCCUUAAUGUAUAAGAGGUCCUGCCUGCCCAGUGACUUAAAGUUAAACGGCCGCGGUAUUUUGACCGUGCUAAGGUAGCGCAAUCACUUGUCUUUUAAAUGAAGACCUGUAUGAAUGGUGAAACGAGGGCUUAACUGUCUCCCUCUUCUGGUCAAUGAAAUUGAUCUGCCCGUGCAGAAGCGGACAUACUAAUACAAGACGAGAAGACCCUUUGGAGCUUAAGACAAAAGAUCAACUAUGUCAAGUCUUUAAUUAAAAUAAAGCAAACAAGACAAUUAUAAUUAUGAACCUAUGUCUUCGGUUGGGGCGACCACGGGGGAAAACUCAGCCCCCAUGUAGAACGGGAUAUUUCCUAAAACCAAGAGAGACAUCUCCAAGUCACAGAACAUCUGACUUAAAGAUCCGGCCUUAUAAAGCCGACUAACGAACCAAGUUACCCUAGGGAUAACAGCGCAAUCCCCUCCAAGAGUCCAUAUCGACAAGGGGGUUUACGACCUCGAUGUUGGAUCAGGACAUCCUAAUGGUGCAGCCGCUAUUAAGGGUUCGUUUGUUCAACGAUUAAAGUCCUACGUGAUCUGAG